rnacentral:rRNA from 1 species
GUGACAGGUGGUGCAUGGUUGUCGUCAGCUCGUGUCGUGAGAUGUUGGGUUAAGUCCCGCAACGAGCGCAACCCUUGAUCUUAGUUGCCAUCAUUCAGUUGGGCACUCUAAGGUGACUGCCGGUGACAAACCGGAGGAAGGUGGGGAUGACGUCAAAUCAUCAUGCCCCUUAUGACCUGGGCUACACACGUGCUACAAUGGACAGAACAAAGGGUUGCAAGCCCGCAAGGGGGAGCCAAUCCCAUAAAUUUGUUCUCAGUUCGG